UUAACAAACUCUUUUUUUUUUUAUACUUAAAACUAUACUGAACCACCUAUCAAUUCCUUUUUUGACGCUGUUCCGACACUGAUGAGCAUCUAAAAAACCUCAUUUCUGGAUGGACUGAAAAAAUUUACUUCAACCCCAGUAUUGAGUUGAGCCGAGCUGGCUAUUUUGACGCCUAUAACAAUACAAUACAAAUAUAAAAAAGGGGUAACAAGUAUUCUAGUCGUCGCUGAAAAACACCGCAGGCCUCUUUCCCAGGCUCAGUCCAGAUUAGCCGCAUUACGACGGCGCAAUGCGGCUGUCAAUUUUCCGGUAUCGGAGUUAUGCUCUUGCACCGCCGUUAAUCCGGUGCUUCAGGUCACAAGCAGCAUUGAAAGCAUUGGCUAAAGCAUCGGAAGACAAAAUCCCAAAUCUCAUCCUCUACAAUUAUCCUUCAUUUUCCGGAGCUUUUGCUGCGCUUUUCGCUCACCUCUAUCAUUCUCGUCUCAACAUACCUUACCUCGUCUUGCCUUUCUCUUCCGUUGAACCCUUCAGGUACCUCGUCUUGCCUUUCUCUUCCGUUGAACCCUUCAGAGUUGGAGACUUGUGUAUUGACGGGCUGAGAAAUUGCUACUUCCUUGAUUUUGUUGGUCCAAAAGGAUUUGCUGAGGAGCUUGCUCCGCGGACCUCAUGCCAGAUAGUAGGGUUUGAUCACCGGAAGUCCGCCCUAUCCAAGAUCCCUUUGAAUCAAAGCUCUGGUGGGAGUAUCACAUUUCAUGUCAACCUAGAGAAAAGUAGUUCAGUUGCUGUUUAUGAACAUUUCUCUUCUAGGCUUUCAGAGUUUGGAUCCAAUAAGGGGGAUGCUAUCAGCUUGCUAAACUCUACUUUUCAAGAUCGAGUUGAAAAUGUUCUAAAAUAUAUAGAAGAUGGAGAUCUUCUCAGGUGGAGUUUGCCUGAUAUUAGGGCAUUUGGAAUUGGAGCUAACCAGUGGCAUUCAAAAUUGAACUGCAUCACUAAUCCACAUAUGUAUAAACAGCUAAUGGGGAUUUGCACCGGUGAUUUAAUUGUUACUGGAAACUCCCAUAUUUCAAAUAGAUUGGCUGCGGCACACAAGUUGCUGGAUAAGUUUUUCAAAAUUCGGCUGGGGAGAGGACUUUAUGGUGAAUGCUUGGGGGUAAGAGCUGAUGGCGAACCAGACUUAAGUGAUGAAAUUGGCAAGGAACUAAGCAAGAAAAGUGCUUCAGUUGGACUCAGGCCUAUAGGAGCAGUCGUAUACCUUCAGCGGAAGAAUCUCAAGAUGUGUCUGAGGACUGUAGAUGCUGCUACUGAUACUUCAGAAGUUGCCAAGGCAUAUGGUGGAGGUGGUUCUCCUAGUUCUAGCUCAUUUAUAAUUCGGAUGGAUGAGUAUAACCAGUGGCGCUCAGUGCAUUCAUCCUAAGUAGGGUACAACAUGAAUUCCCAUCCUCUUCAUAGUUAAUCCAACUCAUGUAUGAAUUAUUGAAUUCCUUUUAAAUGUUUAUGUGAGAUAGAUGCAUUCUCGAAGUAAUCAUUUAGCUUAGGCAAAUAAGAGGGAGUAUAUACUUAAAAUGGCAUUAGGGGAUGCAGAUGUGCAAAAAGACAAAAUGUACAUCAAGAAAGGAGCAAGAAGAGGGAUGAGAUCCUGGAGGGACCAUCAGUUAGUUGAAAGGAAAUCUUCCUUCUUCUUUUUUUUCAAUUGGAAGUAGACUAGGAAAGUUUGAAUAGUCUGUAAUUUAGUGAAAUUGAAUUUUGAUGCAGAGACCUAUAGUGAAUUGUUAGUACUUUCUCCGUUUCAAUUUGUGUGUCUUGUUUUCCUUUUUAGUCCGUUUCUAAAAGAAUGGCUCUUACCUUUUUUGGCAACUUUUUAUUUUAACUUUCCACACGGCAUGUUUAAGAUCACAAGAUUAAAGGACAUUUUGAUAUAUUCUAUAUAUCUUUAGUUUAGGACACAAGAUUCAAAAGUCUUAUUUACUUUCUUAAAUUCUGUGCCAAGUGAAAACCGGACAAACAAAUGGAAACGUAGGGAGUAUUUGCCAAUUUAUGUGGCACAAUUGGAAUUUCAAACUUUUAAACUUUGAACAUGAAUUCAGGCAUAGAAACUUUUAGUAUUUAGGAAUAAAAUUUAUAUAUUUAAAACUACGUAAAAAAUACUAUAAAUCAUAGAAAUUAACAACUUUAAAUUUUUAGAAGGCAUAUAGUGAAAUUAUGGUCAAAGAAAAACUUGGUCGACACUCGAAAUUUCAAUUGUGCCAUAUACAUUGGGGCGGCGGGAGUACAUCUUUAUCCCUUAAAAUGGUGAAAAAUCCAUCUUUCAUAGUUAUUACGAGUAGAAAAGGGAAGAGCCUGAACAUAAAGUAAGGCAGACAAUUGUAGGGAUAGAAAACGGUGCGGGGUGGGUUGAAGCCUUUCUGGGUUUUACUAUAACCAAGAUUGGGGAAGAUAGAGUGCGAACAAUUUAAUUCUUCCACGGUAAAUGUGAUUGCAGUUGUAGAAGAUGUUAACAGUCUUGUUUUACAAGAAUGUUUGUCAUUACUUACAAGAGAGAAUUUAGGUAGGAGCAAUAUGCAAUAAAGUGGUGAUGAUUUUCCAGAUCUAGGUGUGUAACUUCUGAAUACUACUUGAGAGAAUAUAAAGAUUCUUCUGGGCCCUUAAAUACAUAUAACUUAUACUGAAUAUAUCCACUUAUCUAGCUGGACACCCAUCAACAGCUAUGCCUUUGGCUGUUGGACAAGUUGCCAAUUCACAGUGUUCCCCGUUAGUACCCCACCAAGUCACCCCUUUAUUCUCCAUUCCCAACGAGAAAUAUAGUAGGACUGCCAUGAAAGCUACUCCUGCAUCCAACGCUGCGGAUAGAAUGUAGUUGUAUCUCUGCCACCAUUGCUUUCGGUAUCGGAAGAUGAAGAAGUUGAAAAUUGUGCCGACAAUGACCCAUGCAUUAUAGUUUAAUGGUGUAGCGGGUGGCAUGGCACCUGUUGCUCCCAGAAGCACUGGAAGGUUGAUCAGGGGAAUCCAUGAUUGUGUUGGAAACACUUUAUGCAAGAGCCACACUAUUACAGGUCCUAUUGCACCUCCAAGGAAGAACCAGUUCAUGGAGCUGUAGUUCCCAAGAGUUCCAAAAAUCCUUUUUGGUCCGACUAAACCCCAGAUAACUGAUGCAUCAAAAAACACACGAUCUCCUGGGCAUGUCCAUGGACUGUCUGGUGGAAGGAGAUCAUCUUGACAUAUGUUCUCGAUGGAGUUUAGCAGCCACCACGCCACAGAUAUGUUGAUAGUUCCGGAAAUUAUUGUUCCUAAAAACUGGAAUUUAACCAAACAAGAAUGGAAAUUAUUCUUCUAGUCUCGAAUUUACCGUUGUUUGAAAUACUGAUAAAUUCUGGUUGUUGGAAAAAAUUGACUAAGUUAAAUAACGUGUCUCAGUACUUCCUGAUGAAAGAUAAAUUGCUAAAAUUCUUGUGUACGUUGAUAGAUUAUGAAAUCCUAACUCUCCAUAUUUACUUGUUUUUCUAGUAUGUCCAAUUUUAUUCUACCCUUUAUAGCUGCUUUUAAUGAGCAUUGCACUCAUAAUUUAGGAUUCAUCUGACUGUAGACAACUAUCUACAUACAUAUUGAGGUAAAUGCCUUUUGGUGCUUUCUGUGAUUUUUUUUUUUAAAAAAAAAAACAAAAUGGGGUGGGAGGAGAUUUGGCUUUUAAUGAUGGGUUUGGAAAUGCAAACUCAGUUCAUUGAAGUGAUGCUCAAUUCUAUACAUCUAUGCAGUGAUCUAAUGUCUGCAUUUCGUGUCAUUUAUAUCUCAGCACAUAAAACAUGUUUUCUCUCUGAAUUAAGACACUGGUGACUAUUCUGGAUGUCUUAAAGAUAUGGAGAAGCUUCUUCAUUGUGGACUUGUGGUCUCUCUACCUAGGAAAUUGUUACUGCUAAUCGUUACUGUAUACUAGAAGCUCCAAGUUCAUCACUGCUGUAUUUCCAACUUUUUGGCAGUAAUGAUAAAGUGAAUAUACCUGAACCAAGAACAUUGAUCGUGGGGGGAUCUUCAUGUAGUGGCCCAGUUUGAAGUCACUGAGGAAAGAGACAGCCUGUGACAUACUCAUGUACCCAUAGACUUUGAAGCACACAUUGGCUAUUGGUCGUCCUGGUAGUAUUAUUCCCAUGACAUAUUCAGUGAUUAUGUUCAAGCCUGGGGUCUGCAAAUUAGCAUCAUAAAUAAGACGCUUGGAAAAAACUCUAUUGAAAUAACAAGGGUGAUGAUCUUGGAUCUGUUCUUGCAAUAAAUCCAACUAGUUUAAGGUAUAGACAUCGAUCGGGGCUUGCAUAUUGGAUAAACAGUUCAAACAUGCUAAAUAAUCUGAUAGGCAAGACAUACUUGUGGUGCUAAAUGUAAGUGUAAAUGUGUAUGCUUUAUCACCUGGUUUGUUGUAGCUGUUAUGAUGCUGAUUGGAAGAGUGAAGAUAAAAGCAAUAGCACUUGCAAAUAGAAGCCCCCACCAUGGCAUCUGGACUUGGUUAUUCAAGAAAAUGCAGAGGAUUAGGGAGACUGCUAGUGUCACCAGAAGCAAUGCAUUAAACCACCAUGAAGGUAUGUCUUUGUAUUUCCUCAUUAGUCUUGUAUGAAUAUCCUCCUUUCCCUUAUAUGAAGCUCGGAAUCUUUCAUAUAUUUCCCUACACAUUGCAAGUGGACAAUAAAUACAAUCCUUAACUGUCAUUGUUGUAGCUUAUUAAUAAGCAACUCUUAACCUUAUUCAUAGUUCUACUUAAUUGUAGAAACUUUGCUGCUAAACAGCUCUAUAUAUGUAGCAAUUGAGUUGUCAAGAAUUUGAGGAAGUGUAAAAUAAAUUGGCACAUUAUCAAUUUUGGGAUGAUAAGACAUUUAGUUCCAUUAGAUUAUUUUUUAAAACAUAGUUUUCCUCAACUUCGACUCUAGAUUGUAAAACACAAGGAGCAAUUUGACGAAAUAGUAGUAUUGUGUCUUGAUAGCUAGUGUGUAUUACCUUCCAUAGAACAAUGCCACGUGUGUAAGAGUGGAUGCUAUAGUAGCAAAACCAAAACCGUAAGUGAGAGCAAAGAACAUGCUUAUAUGUAUCCGCCCUUGCUCCUCGUACUUCCCAAUAUCUAGCUCAAACUUGUCAUUCACGAUGGCUGAUAUAUCGUACUUCUGACCUUGUGAUGUGAAUAAGUGCGAUGAGAAAAUGGGAAAUUUGGAAGCACCAUACAAGUCAAACCCCCAAUAUGCUGUUGGGAUCACCAUGUAUAUUAUCAACAUGUACCCUGCAAAGACGUUGACAAUGGCAAAGAAAGGGCAGAUGAGGGGGCUGAACAAGAAGGAUGCCACAGCAGACCAAUCUAGGGUUAUAGCUCCAAGUCCAAGACCCCUCAUGCCUGAUCCAAUUUGCUGAGCUGUUACUGAUUUGGAGAAUGCCCAGCAGAUCCAUGAGAUGCUCGUGAGCGUGGAGAAUAGAUAUCCUGGUACCAAAUACCAGCAAAAGCUGCAUAUCAAUGCAAUAAGGAAAAAUUUUGCUCUUGACAUGCGCUGAUCAUCUUUCUCAUGCAAGGCCCUACAAAUAUCGAGGUGUGUUAUGAUUUGCUGCAUCUUUGACCCGUUUGAAUAAGAAAAUUACUGUGAAACAAUUUACUUGUUCUAUACAAGCGCAGCUGGAGUAAAAACCUUUCAACCAUUGCAUAGUCUGAAAUGAAUGAGAAAAUUUGAAACAAAGAAACUUACAGUGAUGAUUCAUAUAGUUCACUGCAACUUCCUUUGACUGAGGUGUCGUUCUUGAAUAGAACCUUACACUAUUUUGGGUUAAAUUGGAUUUGUGACGCUUUAGAAUGUAAAUGUCUGGUCCGGGACCUCCUAGGAAGAGGAUGAAAGGAAUAGAGAAUACAAAGACAUUUUUUUCAGCUAUAUGUCACGAUAAAUAGUACUCCCUCAUUUUAAUUUAUGUGUCUUACUUUCCUUUUUAGUAUGUUUCAAAGGAAUGUCACCUUUCUAUAUUUAGCAACUUUUAAACUUCAGCAUUCACUUAUACCCCUGAACUAUUAACUGUAUAAACGUGUUUAUGAGACCUCAGUUUACAAAUAAUCCAUUUUACAAGAACAAAGACUGUAUUCUUGUUUCUUUGCAUGAUAUAUAUCUGGAAAAUGAAUUAAGCUGUGAUCGUGCAGAUGAUUGA